rnacentral:rRNA from 1 species
UACAGAGGUCCCAAGCGUUGUUCGGAAUUACUGGGCGUAAAGGGUGCGUAGGCGGUACAUUAAGUCUUUAGUUAAAGGCAGUGGCUCAACCAUUGUAUGCUAAGGAAACUGAUAUACUAGAGUGCAGUAGAGGUUAGUGGAAUUCCAUGUGUAGCGGUGAAAUGCGUAGAUAUAAUGGAGGAACACCAGUGGCGAAGGCGGCUGACUGGACUGAUAACUGACGCUGAGGCACGAAAACGUGGGGAGCAAUAGG